CCUACGGGUGGCAGCAGUGGGGAAUUUUGGACAAUGGGCGCAAGCCUGAUCCAGCUAUUCCGCGUGUGGGAAGACGGCCUUCUGGUUGUAAACCACUUUUGUAGAGAACGUAAAGUCCGUUGAUAAUACCGCUAGAUGAUGACGGUACUCUAAGAAUAAGCAUCGGCUAACUACGUCCCAGCCGCCGCGGUAAUACGUAGGGUGCGUGCGUUAAUCGGAAUUACUGGGCGUAAAGGGUGUGCAGGCGGUUUUGCAAGAUGGAUGUGAAAGCCCCGGGCUUAACCUGGGAAAGCCAUACAUGACUGGAAGACUAGAGUGCGUCAGAGGGAGGUGGAAUUCGAAGUGCAGCAGUGAAAUGCGUAGAUAUUUGGAAGAACACCGAUGGCGAAGGCAGCCCCCUGGGACGCAACUGACACUCAUACACGAAAGCGUGGGGAGCAAACAGGAUUAGAUACCCCUGUAGUC
rnacentral:rRNA from 1 species